rnacentral:rRNA from 1 species
UACGGAGGGUGCAAGCGUUAUCCGGAUUUACUGGGUUUAAAAGGGUGCGCAGGCGGAUAUGUAAGUCAGUGGUGAAAUCUCUAGGCUUAACCUGGAAAUUGCCGUUGAUACUAUAUAUCUUGAAUGCUGUGGAGGUAAGCGGAAUAUGUCAUGUAGCGGUGAAAUGCUUAGAUAUGACAUAGAACACCUAUUGCGAAGGCAGCUUAACUACGCAGAUAUUGACGCUCAUGCAUCGAAAGCGUGGGGAUC